GUCCCUUCCAACUAUACAAUUUCUAUGAUUCCUGUAUUACCCUUUCUACUGAGAUCUAUGGGAAUUCUUCAUCUUAUUUUACCCUAGAAUCAUAGAACUGUAGAGUUGGAAGGGAC